rnacentral:piRNA from 1 species
GCACUAGCAGGUGUUUUGUAAUGGAGGAUC